rnacentral:lncRNA from 1 species
GAAACAAAAGGACAUGUCCUAUGGGGACAUCUAUUGCACCCUUUUGGAACCCUUCUUUCUAAGAGUGUAGGCCUACGUACAAGUGCUGCAUGCCCCUGUACCUCGCGCGGGUGGGUAUGUGUGUGUUGGUGUGUGUAUGGGUGUGCCACCGUAGUGUGUGUGUGUGUGUGUGUGUGUGUGUGUGUGUGUGUGUGUGUGUGUGUGUGUGUGUGUGUGUGUGUGUGUGUGUGUGUGUGUGUGUGUGUGUGUGUGUGUGUGUGUGUGUCUCCAGUACAUGACUAGGGCCGAGCUCCCUGCCAUCCAGGACCUCUAUAUAAGGCGUGUGAACGGAGCGCCUGUGAUAUUGAUAAAAACUUCAGCUAGGGUUAGGAGCUAGGGUUAGGGUAAGGGUUAGGGUUAGGGUUAGGGUUAGGGUAAGGGUUAGGGUAAGGAGCUAGGGUUAGGUUUAGGGUUAGGGUAAGGAGCUAGGGUUAGGUUUAGGGUUAGGGUAAGGAGCUAGGGUUAGGUUAAGGGUAAGGAGCUAGGGUUAGGUUUAGGGUUAGGGUAAGGAGCUAGGGUUAGGUUUAGGGUAAGGAGCUAGGGUUAGGUUUAGGGUAAGGAGCUAGGGUUAGGUUUAGGGUUAGGGUAAGGAGCUAGGGUUAGGUUUAGGGUUAGGGUAAGGAGCUAGGGUUAGGUUUAGGGUUAGGAGCUAGGGUUAGGUUUAGGGUUAGGGUAAGGAGCUAGGGUUAGGUUUAGGGUUAGGAGCUAGGGUUAGGUUUAGGGUUAGGGUAAGGAGCUAGGGUUAGGUUUAGGGUUAGGGUAAGGAGCUAGGGUUAGGUUUAGGGUUAGGGUUAGGAGCUAGGGUUAGGUUUAGGGUUAGGGUAAGGAGCUAGGGUUAGGGUUAGGGUUAGGGUUACCUUGUUGUGUGUCUAUCUGUGUGUGUGUGUGUGUGUGUGUGUGUGUGUGUGUGUG